rnacentral:rRNA from 1 species
UACGUAGGUGGCAAGCGUUGUCCGGAUUUACUGGGCGUAAAGAGCGCGCAGGCGGUCGAGUAAGUCGAAUGUGAAAGCCCCCGGCUUAACUGGGGAGGGUCAUUCGAUACUGUUCGACUUGAAGGCAGGAGAGGGCAGCAGAAUUCCCGGUGUAGUGGUGAAAUGCGUGGAUAUCGGGAGGAAUACCAGUGGCGAAGGCGGCUGCCUGGCCUGUUCUUGACGCUGAGGCGCGAAAGCUGGGGGAGCAAACGGG